rnacentral:tRNA from 1 species
GCGGGAAUGGCGGAAUUGGCAGACGCGCUAGGUUGAGGGCCUAGUGGGCAUACAACGCCCGUGCAGGUUCAAGUCCUGUUUCCCGCA